rnacentral:lncRNA from 1 species
UGUUGCUGAGGACGUUUGUAAAUUUGAGACAGACUUUAAUAUUGUUAGACGUGCUGCUGGGACCAUAGGAAUUCUUGAGUGGCUUUGACUGGAUACAACAAUGUGGAGAAUAAUCCCAACUGUGAAAAGUGCUACUGUGGCCACAGAACAGUACAGAAUAAUUUUUGAAAAAGGGCAAUCUUCUUGUUGCUUUUAGAAGAAGGCCGAG